AAUGAACGUUGGCGGCGUGGAUUAGGCAUGCGAGUCGAGCGAGAACCGUAGCAAUACGGGGACAGCGGCGAAAGGGACAGUAACGGGUAGAUUAUCUGCCCUCAGGUUUGGGAUAGCUGCGGGAAACUGCAAGUAAUACCAAAUAAUAUCUCCGGAUCAAAGGUGUGAUUCCGCCUGAGGAUGAGUCUGCCUCCUAUUAGCUUGUUGGUGGGGUAACGGCCUACCAAGGCAUUGAUGGGUAGCGGGUGUGAGAGCACGACCCGCGUCAUUGGGACUGAGACACUGCCCAGACACCUACGGGUGGCUGCAGUCGAGAAUCUUCGGCAAUGGACGCAAGUCUGACCGAGCGACGCCGCGUGUGGGAUGAAGGCCUUCGGGUUGUAAACCACUGUCAGAGGGGAUGAAAUGCAGGUGGGUACUCCCAUUUGUUUGACAUAGCCUCAGAGGAAGUACGGGCUAAGUUCGUGCCAGCCGCCGCGGUAAUAC
rnacentral:rRNA from 1 species